rnacentral:rRNA from 1 species
GAUGAACGCUAGCGGCAGGCCUGACACAUGCAAGUCGAGGGGUAGAGGAAGCUUGCUUCCUUGAGACCGGCGCACGGGUGCGUAACGCGUAUGCAAUCUACCUUUACAGAGGGAUAGCCCAGAGAAAUUUGGAUUAAUACCUCAUAGUAUCUUUGCCUGGCAUCGGGUGAUUAUUAAAGUUCCAACGGUAAAAGAUGAGCAUGCGUCCUAUUAGCUAGAUGGUAAGGUAACGGCUUACCAUGGCAACGAUAGGUAGGGGUCCUGAGAGGGAGAUCCCCCACACUGGUACUGAGACACGGACCAGACUCCUACGGGAGGCAGCAGUGAGGAAUAUUGGACAAUGGGCGCAAGCCUGAUCCAGCCAUGCCGCGUGCAGGAAGACGGUCCUAUGGAUUGUAAACUGCUUUUGUACGGGAAGAAACACUCCUACGUGUAGGAGCUUGACGGUACCGUAAGAAUAAGGAUCGGCUAACUCCGUGCCAGCAGCCGCAGUAAGAC